rnacentral:lncRNA from 1 species
UAACAAAUUAACAAAUAGAAUGCUGCUAAAACAAGAAGAUUAAUGUUUUUAGUCUAACUCAGUAACAUAGUCAAAAAACAGGAACCUUAGUAGUAGUAGUAGUAGUAGUAGUAGUAGUAGUAGUAGUAGUAGUAAUAGUAGUAAUAAUAAUAAACGCUAGUUGACAUAUACCUACCAACCCAUGAAACCAAAAUACAAAGAAUAACUAGGCAACCAUGGGGAAAGUGGCCCUCAAAGUUGCGUUCAUACACUAUUUCUCUUUCCAGUUCCACAUGCUGCCACCUAGUAACCAUAAGGUGGCAACAUAUAUGCAGCAGGCCACAGGUAAAGAGAUAAAGAAACCAAUAAAGUCCUUGUUUCACAGUUGGUCGUACUGUAUUUUAUCUUCAACGCACAAUAUAUCAAUCAAAGAGACACAAUAACCUGAUCAGCAUGAAACCAAGAGCAACUUAUCCAAUGAGGUCCAUGUAAAAUCACUGAAGUAGAGAAAAAGGAAAAGACCUCCAUACAGAUGUGUCUGACAUCUAAGAACUUGCUAGAAAUUAAUGCAAAUUAUGAAUAU